UUUUCAAUUUCUCUACGGCUGGAUUCGAAAAUGGAGAUACAGAAGGGGAAGGACUGAAAGUCUGUAGUAAAGGAGAGUUGAAGGCCUGUUUACUAGCGGAAAAAUGCAUACCGGAAGAAGAAAGUGAAUUGGAUGAAAGAGGUUUGAAUUUGUGGUAAGAAGUGGCAAUUGCGGCAUUCUUUAAUGAAAAUCGUCGACUUCGAGGAUGAUGCGGAAAAGAUGUACGAGGUGUUGGAACGGUCAACGACCGUUUUCUAGUUGAUGUACGUUCAUAAUAACCACUCUUUUUAGCCGCAAUGGCAGCCGCGUUCGAAGCCGCCCCGCCUCUUCUUGAAUCCUCGACAAAAAUUUGCUUAUUCUUUUUGGUGUGAUACUUCGAGGAUAAAGGACUAGUGGAACUUUGAGAAUCAUCUUGUUCAGGAAAAUCCGCAAAACUCGCUUUGGCAGCAGCUAAGGGAUCUAGUGGGUUGGCAUCAACAUAUGGAUCUACGGAUUUAUAUAUAGCGGAAGGUAAGCUCUUUCUGUGGUUCUGAAAUAGGGGAAAGGAUCCAUUAGAAUGCUGAAAAAAUGAUCUGCUUAUGCUUGGAG